ACAUGCCCUUGUAAGGGUAUUCCAUAGUAAAGGUGACAAAUAUGUAUGUGUUUGGGUGUGGUAUACACGGUGAGGUUAGUGUGCCUGUGUUGUCCAGGAGGAAACUGAGGUUUGGGAGGUUUAAAACCUUUUAUUAAUUUAUCAAUUUUUUGUUUCAUUUUUGUGCGUGUGUGUUUUUUCAAGACAGGGUCUCACUCUGUCACCCCUGGCGUGCAGUGGCACAAUCUCGGCUCACUGCAACCUCUGCCUCCCCAGCCAUGUGGAACUGAAUCCAUUAAACCUCUUUUUC
rnacentral:lncRNA from 10 species